AGGAAAUAGUGAACGCUUGGUGUAUCCUAAACCAUGUAACAUGAGUCUAAUGUAGGAGAAUAGAAUGUCCCAAUUUAGUAGGUACAUCCACCCAUCCCUCAAAAUGGGGUGGCAUAACACAUCAACCUUUUAGCAGGAGGAUGCAGGGUUUCAAUCAACAGACCAGUAGUAUUGGCAUGUUAACAUAAAUAAAAGUUGGAUGUUCCAUAUUCAACUGAAGGCCAGUUUUAACUCUACAGGAUGGCUUAAAUGCACAAAAGCUGAGGCU
rnacentral:misc_RNA from 1 species